CAGUCGCCACGGGAAUACGGAGGGCGCGAGCGUUACCCGGAUUUACUGGGCGUAAAGGGCGUGUAGGCGGCCUGGGGCGUCCCAUGUGAAAGGCCACGGCUCAACCGUGGAGGAGCGUGGGAUACGCUCAGGCUAGAGGGUGGGAGAGGGUGGUGGAAUUCCCGGAGUAGCGGUGAAAUGCGCAGAUACCGGGAGGAACGCCGAUGGCGAAGGCAGCCACCUGGUCCACUUCUGACGCUGAGGCGCGAAAGCGUGGGGAGCAAACCGGAUUAGAUACCCGGGUAGUCCCUGUCUCUUAUAC
rnacentral:rRNA from 1 species